AAAGAUCGCAGCCUGCGGCAGCUCCUACAGGGAUCGCCAUGUACCUGUAGGAGCUGCCGCAGGCUGCGAUCUUU
rnacentral:antisense_RNA from 2 species